GGCAAAAUCCUACACAGUGGCACCCAGUGACCGGCCCUGACUUUGAUCUUGGGAGCUUUCCUCUCCACCCAAGAGGCUCGGAGGUCAUCUCUGUCUCAGAAAAUCAGCAAGAUCAACAGCGGGACAGUGGGGACUGACGGCCACUGUCAUUUGCAUCAUGACUGAGUCAGGCAGGAUGCCAUGGACCUCGUGAAAUUAGCUGAAGGCCUGAAAAGGGCAGAAGGGCUGCCCUGCCCAUGAGGAGGAGAGAACCCCCGCUGCCGGACGGCCUUUGAACUGGAACAUCAGUUUUUCGCUGCCUUUGGACCUGAACUGAAACAUUGGCUCUCCCUGGGCCUUGACUCCGCCCACAUUGGAACUAUGGAUUGGCGCUCCCGGGCUCCAGCCUGCCCAUUCACCCUGCAUGUGGUGUUGGACUUAAGCUCCAAAACUGUUUCAGAUUUUAUUGCUCCUGCUUCAUUAUGUCAAAGCCACGUGAUGAUAUCACACCUGGUGCAGAACAGCCCUGAUGGUUCUGGAAGCACCACGGUCCGACCCGUCCUGACAGAUGACCCAGUCAUGAAAUGCUGGCGCAGGUGUGGAUCGAGCCAUCCUCUCUCUCUCUUCACUGUCUGGAAUCAAGACCCUGAAGUCCAGAUGGCCAAGGACUGUUCCAGCCCUUACCGACAGGCGGAAGUCGGGACACAGGGCCUGGCUGGCACCCCGUUCUCCAGACCACGCUGCCCUCCACCGCUGGGUCCCAGGACCCAGAUGUGGGUGGAUCUUUGUUUCUGACUUGGGUUCGUUCCUUUAUAAGAACCGCAAAUCCUUUGUCCUCACGCUACUUGUUAGGACUGACAGCAUUCCUGACUGUGGUGUGUGUGCUGUUAUCAACAGGUUCCAAAGCUUAUCCUUGAGGCUCACAGUCUCAGAGUUGAAGAGGCCCUGGCAGGCACGGGCCAGCCUUGUCUGGUAAGUGCCUAGGCCCUUGAGACCACCUCAUGCCCUCAUGGACAGAGACAAAUUAAAAAUAGAGACUUGAUUCUCCUGAUUGAAAAGAAGGGAAGAGAUUUUCUCUCCCUUUUCUCUGAACAUCUACUUUUUUUUUUGAAAUGGAGUCUCACUUUGUAGCCCAGACUGGAGUGCAGUGGUGCAAUCUCGGCUCACCACAUCCUCCACCUUCUGGGUUCAAGAGAUACUCCUGCCUCAGCCUCCUAAGUAGCUGGGAUUACAGGUGUGCGCCACUGUGCCUGGCUAAUUUUUUUGUAUUUCUAGUACAGUGGGGGUUUCACCAUGUUGGCAAGGCUGGUCUUGAACUCCUGACCUCUGGUGAUCUGCCUGGCUUGGCCUCCCAAAGUGCUGGAAUUAUAGGCGUGAGCCACCACACCCGGACCUGAGCAUUUACUUUUGAGAGCUUCUAUUUCAAGUGCUUUCUUCCCUGUUUGAAAUGUAUGUACAUCGUUUUGAAGACUAGACUGGUAGUUUCUGGCCUUGUGACCUAGCAUGUCUUUCUCAAGGACCUGGAAGCCCAUUUUGAACUGUAGACAUCAAGGGUGAUGGCAUCCCCGUCUCUGCUUUCAGGGGGAAGCCAAGAGCCUAACUCAGUGCAUCUUGCUUCAAGUUGCAAAACGGCCUCCUGUUAAUGUUAUGGAGAUAGGAGUUUAUUCUUCUUCUAGACACAGGCAAUUAACAAACACAGAUUGUAAUGCCAAUGACCAGGUGGCCACGGAGUCAACAGUUUGUGACAAAUGGCACUGUCAGGGUCUCUUCCUUAAGGAGUGGUUAUUGUUUAUGUUGAAAACACGCGUGCAGUGAGUUGUAGCUGCUCCAGUCUUUAAAAGAAUGCGAUCCUUUCUUUGCAAUCUCUUAGCCUUGCCCGAGAUGCAUAUCACCUUCUGGCUUAAUGGUUAUUCAAUAAUAAAACUUCUCUUUCUCUUCCA
rnacentral:lncRNA from 13 species